rnacentral:rRNA from 1 species
AUACGUAGGUGACAAGCGUUAUCCGGAUUUACUGGGCGUAAAGGGCGUGUAGGCGGUCUUGCAAGUCAGAAGCGAAAUUCCUGAGCUCAACUCGGGCGCUGCUUCUGAAACUGCAGGACUUGAGUGCUGGAGGGGAUAGCGGAAUUCCUAGUGGAGCGGUAAAAUGCGCAGAUAUUAGGAAGAACACCGGUGGCGAAGGCGGCUAUCUGGACAGUAACUGACGCUGAGGCGCGAAAGCGUGGGGAGCAAACAGGAUUAGAUCCCCUGGUAGUCCACGCCGUAAACGAUGAAUACUAGGUGUAGGGGGUAUCGACUCCCUCUGUGCCGCAGUUAACACAAUAAGUAUUCCGCCUGGGGAGUACGGCCGCAAGGUUGAAACUUAAAUGAAUUGGCGGGG